GCCCUCGUAGCUCAGCUGGUAGAGCGUUCCCAUGGUAAGGGAAAGGUCCCCGGUUCAACUCCGAGCGUGGGCA
rnacentral:tRNA from 1 species